UCGAACGAGGUGCUUUUGUAGCAAUACGGAAGUAUCCUAGUGGCGAACGGGUGAGUAACGCGUUGGUGACCUACCCCGAAGUGUGGGAUAACAGUCCGAAAGGAUUGCUAAUACCGCAUGUGGUCCCCGGGUUUAGAAACCGGAGACUAAAGCAGCAAUGCGCUUUGGGAGGGACCUGCGUCCCAUCAGCUAGUUGGUGAGGUAACGGCUCACCAAGGCGUCGACGGGUAAGGGACCUGAGAGGGUGGUCCCUCACAAUGGCACUGAAACACGGGCCAUACACCUACGGGUGGCAGCAGUAGGGAAUAUUGGGCAAUGGGCGAAAGCCUGACCCAGCAACGCCGCGUGUACGAUGAAGGCCUUCGGGUCGUAAAGUACUUUUCUGGGAGAUGAGAAAGGACAGUAUCCCAGGAAUAAGCUUCGGCUAACUACGUGCCAGCAGCCGCGGUAAAACGUAGGAAGCGAGCGUUAUCCGGAUUUACUGGGCGUAAAGCGCGUGUAGGCGGUUUGGCAAGUUGGAUGUGAAAUCUCCUGGCUCAACUGGGA
rnacentral:rRNA from 1 species